rnacentral:rRNA from 1 species
UGGGGAAUAUUGCACAAUGGGCGCAAGCCUGAUGCAGCCAUGCCGCGUGUAUGAAGAAGGCCUUCGGGUUGUAAAGUACUCUCAGCGGGGAGGAAGGUGUUGAGGUUAAUAACCUCAGCAAUUGACGUUACCCGCAGAAGAAGCACCGGCUAACUCCGUGCCAGCAGCCGCGGUAAUACGGAGGGUGCAAGCGUUAAUCGGAAUUACUGGGCGUAAAGCGCACGCAGGCGGUCUGUCAAGUCGGAUGUGAAAUCCCCGGGCUCAACCUGGGAACUGCAUUCGAAACUGGCAGGCUAGAGUCUUGUAGAGGGGGGUAGAAUUCCAGGUGUAGCGGUGAAAUGCGUAGAGAUCUGGAGGAAUACCGGUGGCGAAGGCGGCCCCCUGGACAAAGACUGACGCUCAGGUGCGAAAGCGUGGGGAGCAAACA